GACGAACGCNGGCGGCGUGCCUAAUACAUGCAAGUAGAACGCUGAAGGAGGAGCUUGCUCUUCUGGAUGAGUUGCGAACGGGUGAGUAACGCGUAGGUAACCUGCCUGGUAGCGGGGGAUAACUAUUGGAAACGAUAACUAAUACCGCAUAACAUUGACUAUUGCAUGAUAGUCAAUUGAAAGGUGCAAAUGCACCACUACCAGAUGGACCUGCGUUGUAUUAGCUAGUUGGUGGGGUAACGGCUCACCAAGGCGACGAUACAUAGCCGACCUGAGAGGGUGAUCGGCCACACUGGGACUGAGACACGGCCCAGACUCCUACGGGAGGCAGCAGUAGGGAAUCUUCGGCAAUGGACGAAAGUCUGACCGAGCAACGCCGCGUGAGUGAAGAAGGUUUUCGGAUCGUAAAGCUCUGUUGUAAGGGAAGAACGAGUGUGAGAGNGGAAAGUUCACACNGNGACGG
rnacentral:rRNA from 1 species